rnacentral:rRNA from 1 species
GUAGGUGGCAAGCGCUGUCCGGAAUUAUUGGGCGUAAAGCGCGCGCAGGCGGUUCUUUAAGUCUGAUGUGAAAGCCCACGGCUCAACCGUGGAGGGUCAUUGGAAACUGGAGAACUUGAGUACAGAAGAGGAAAGCGGAAUUCCACGUGUAGCGGUGAAAUGCGUAGAGAUGUGGAGGAACACCAGUGGCGAAGGCGGCUUUCUGGUCUGUAACUGACGCUGAGGCGCGAAAGCGUGGGGGGGAGCAAACAGGAUUAGAUACCCUGGUAGUCCACGCCGUAAACGAUGAUGCUAAGUGUUAGGGGGUUUCCGCCCCCCCCUUAGUGCUGCAGCUAACGCAUUAAGCACUCCGCCUGGGGAUACGGCGCAAGGCUG